GUUCGAUUAUGGCUCAGUUAGUGCUGGCAGGAUGCUUUACACAUGCAAGUCGAACGGCAGCACGGACUUCGGUCUGGCAGUGUGGGUGAGUAUCAGACGUGCCUAGUAGCGGGGAUAACUACGCGAAAGCGUAACAAUACAUACGCCCUUCGGGGAAAGCGGGGGACGCCCAGGCCCUCGCACUAUUAGAGCGGCCGAUAUCCGGAUUAGCUAGUUGGUGGGGUAACGGCUCACCAAGGCGACGAUCAUGGCGGUUUGAGAGGACGACCAGCCACUGGGACUGAGACACGGCCCAGACUCCUACGGGGAGGCGGUGGGAAUUUUGGACAAUGGGGAAACCUGAUCCAGCCAUCCCGCGUGUGCGAUGAAGGCCGUUUCGGGUUGUAAAGCACUUUUUUGGCAGGAAAGAAACGGCACGGGAUAAUACCCCGUGCAGCUGGCAGUACCUGCAGAAUAAGCACCGGCUAACUACGUGCCAGCAGCCGCGGUAUGCGGCCCAGGUGCGGCGUUAAAUCAGUUACUGGGCGUAAAAGCAUGCGCAGGCGGUUCGGAAAGAAGAUGUGAAAUCCAGAGCUUAACUUUGGAACUGCAUUUUUAACUACCGAGCUAGAGUGUAUCAGAGAGGUGGAAUUCCGCGUGUAGCAGUGAAAUAUGAGAUAUGCGGAGGAACACCGAUGGCGAAGGCAGCCUCCUGGGAUAACACUGACGCUCAUGCACGAAAGCGUGGGAGCAAACAGGAUUAGAUACCCUGGUAGUCCACGCCCUAAACGAUGUCAACUAGCUGUUGGGGCCUUCGGGCCUUGGUAGCGCAGCUAACGCGUGAAGUUGACCGCCUGGGAAAUACGGUCGCAAGAUUAAAACUCAAAAGAUUGACGGGGACCCGCACAAGCAGUGGAUGAUGGAUUAAUUCGAUGCAACGCGAAAAACCUUACCUACCCUUGACAUGUCUGGAAUCCCGAAGAGAUUUGGGAGUGCUCGCAAGAGAACCGGAACACAGGUGCUGCAUGGCUGUCGUCAGCUCGUGUCGUGAGAUGUUGGAGUUGAAUCCCGCAACAGGCGCAACCCUUGUCAUUAGUUGCUACGAAAGGGCACUCUGACCAGACUGCCGGUGACAAACCGGAGGAAGGUGAGAUGAGCGUCAAGUCCUCAUGGCCCUUAUGGGUAGGCUUCACCACGUCAUACAAUGGUCGGGACAGAGGGUCGCCAACCCGCGAGAGGGAACAAUCCAGAAACCCGAUCGUAGUCCGGAUCUGGUCACGCUCGACUGCGUGGGGUCAGAAUCUUCGUAAUCGGAUCAGCAUGUCGCGGUGAAUGCGUUCCAGAUUAUACUGCCGUCACACCAUGGGAGUGGGUUUUACCAGAAGUAGUUAGCCUAACCGUAAGGGCGAUUACCACGGUAGGAUUCAUGACUGGGGUGAAGUCGUAACAAGGUAA
rnacentral:rRNA from 1 species